AUCCUUUCUCAUGUUAACCUCAGAGGAAGUAUUUGUAUGUGUGUUACUCAGGAGCCCAAAUUCUCAAGUGUAGGUGAGCUCUGCUCACCACAGCAGGACCUGGUGAUGAAGGGGUGAGAAAAAGCAGCUGUGCCCCAGUGCUGAGGCUCUCUCUAGCUUGUGCUGGCAUGUUGGGGGCUCCUGAAGGCAGUUUACAUUUUUGGUGAUUGCUGGAGUACAGUACGCUGUGGCCACACUCCCCACUGCCCUGCAUGUCUCCUGUGGCAGAGUGGAUAGCAGGACACCUUUUGCUAUACUUUUCGUGAUGACUCUCUGCUGGUUCUCCAGCUGUACCAAGGAUAUGCUGGGCACCUCACUGAAUAAAUCAUUAGACAAGGCCUCUACCCAAAGCACCAAUCAUCUAGAAUCUAGACAUGAUGACAUUACCAAGGAGGGGAGCACAAUCAAGAGAGAAGGCACGAACUUGACUCAUACAAUCUGGCAGAGCUUUCACUGUCCUACACCUCUGUGUGAACACUCCGUUCUGGGCUGUUGCAUUUUGACACUGUGAGUACAUUUUUGUAGCAGCAUGGUUGUUUCAUCCCAAACCACACUCCAGACUUACUGAGUUUCAGACAGUUCAGUUUCAGUUGCCCCCAUGAAGUGGGACAGUGAUCCAGUGAGCUGAGCACUGCAGUGGGCGUAAGGAGAUUCGGGUUCUAUUCCAAGCUCUACUACUGACCUGUUAUGUGACCUUGGGCAAGGCUUUGCCUCAGUUUUCCCAUCUAUAAAAUGGGUGUAAUGAUACAGUAGAACCUCAGAGUUAUGAACGUCUCAAGAAUGGAGGUUGUUCGUAACUCUGAAGAAAACAUUAGGGUUGUUCCUUCAAAAGUUUACAGCUGAACAUUGACUUAAUACAGAUUUGAAAGUUUAUGCAGAAGAAAAAUGCUGCUUUCCCUUCAUUUUUUUAGUAGUUUAUGUGUAACACAGUAAUGUACUGUAUUUUCUUUUUUUCCCCUUUUGUCUCUUCUGCUGCCUGAUUGCAUACUUCUGGUUCCAAAUGAGGUGUGUGGUUGAUUGUUCAGUUCAUAACUCUGAGGUUCGACAGUACUUACUUUCCAGUUGUAGAAAUUUUUGAGUUCUGUGGCUGAAAAAAAUAUUAUAUAAGAGCUAAGCAGAAAUAUAUUUGUUAACUGGCUUGAUAAAAUUCUUAUAAGUGCUAUAAAAAGUCAGCUUAGGAAAAAAAUAUGGCUGUCUGAGGAUAUGUUUACACUGCAGUCAGAAGGGUGACUGCAGCGCGUACAGGUUUUAAUCUCGCUAGCCUGCAUAAAAAUAGCCGUGCAGCUAGUGGCACAUGCUUCAGUGUGGACUGUCCAAGUCCCUCCCCAGAGCCCUGGGCUCAUACUCACAUUUCUUGCCCACAGUGGGGUCCAUGCCACCCCUCUUCACUGCUAUUUAUAGCCACACUAGCUAGAUUAAUGCUAGUGGGAGGAUGCCUACACCAGCUGCAAUCACACCUCUAGUUGCAGUAUAGACAUAGCCUAUGUGUGGACUUGCAUCAGAAGCUGAUCAAUGUGUGCAUGUAUCUUUUGUUGCCUUCUUUUUCAGCAGGGUUUUGUGUAGUGUUUGUAUGUUGACAUUACUGGCGAAAGAUUACUGGAUCUCCGCAAUUUAGUUCACAUUCACUAGAGGAUUGCUCUACUCACAUUCACUAGAGGAUUGCUAUUGACAAGAGGAAUAAGAGUCCAGAUAAUGACCAAUCGCAGAAGAUAGUUGCUUUAGAGCAACCGUCUCUCACGCUUACGAUACAACAUGUAGCUAAAUGUUAUUGGAGACAUCUUUCCCUUUCUUCUUUGUGUGGUGGUCUCAAAAUCACUGUAACGCUCCUGUUCUUCAGCUGGCCAAAUUCUGCCUUUCUCUCCCUCCACCAUGCGCUAUUGGAAGAACCCAUCCCAGAUAUAGGCAGAUUUUAGUCUUGCUGAUAACAGGGAUAUUUUCUAACACUUUUCCAGAUUCAGCUCUACCAAUGCUCGCACCAUUGAUACUCCACAUGUUGACAGCUGUCUGGCGAUCACUAGCAUUCAGAACACGAUGUUCUGUACCCUGCCCAGAGCAAUUCUCAUACUGUGUUAAAAAUAAUGGUUCCAGUUAAAGACCCACCUCCACUGUGAAUCCUAGCAGAACACCCGUGUAGCUGAUCUAGUAUUAAUAGCAAGCGGAGACAAGGCCAAACGUGCUGUGUUCCAAGACUGCUUGCUGAACUGUAUCCAGGCUGCUCUGUGUCCUUUGAAGAUCGGCCCACUCUGUGAAGCAGUUUCAAAAUGAAAAGCUCUUCACUGCAGCAGCACUGGAGCCAAACUCAAGAAGAUUAAUUGAGGCAGAGAGAACCUGGAUACUAAGCAAUGGUUAGGUCUGACUUUUACAAGGGACCAGAAAGGAAAAACGGGGAUUAUGGGAAGAGGAGACAUACAGAGCAAGGAGAAAGAGAAGGUGGGGAGGCAAGGAAAACAGAUUAGGGGAGACAAGUCCAAGGGAAACACAAAGACUGAAUAGAGAAAAGAGAAAGAGUUUGUUCAUUGCAUUUACCUGUAGUGUCAUGCUUGCAUUUCAGGUAGGCAUUGAUUUACAUAUGACUUUGAUAUAUAUCAGAAAAGGGGUAACUAGCCAAUAGACCCCUGAUGGUUCCCUAAUCAUUUAUUUUACCACCUUGUCACAGAGCAUGGUUCCCUAACCCUGAAUUCCUUGUUGCAAACGGCCCUCACACACUUGUGGCAAGCUCAACACCAAGUGCUUUAUUUGCCAGGUGCUUUCUAUAUGUUUGGUCCCAAUAGCAUAAGGUUUUUCCCCAAGUCUUUACCUACUACCAAGGCAUAGGCAGCAGGAGGCUCUGAGACCUUAGGUAUCUCUGACCCUUCUUUCCAGCCUUUCCCCUCUCUGCUGGCUCUUCCUCCCUGUCUUUUAACUCUUUCCAGCUGACAAACUGAGUCACCCAACUAACUAGUUAAUCCCAUAGUACUGAAACUAUUACCUUGUCAGUUUACCCCACGUGGGGACAGUUCCGAAGUGCACAGAGUGGAGAGUCAGCCCUAGGCUUUUCACACUGUCACACACCUACAAGCAUUUUCACUAAGGCCUGGGUGAGCUAGAGGGAUUAUAUUUAUUUUACAGGCAGAACUUUAAAAUGCCAAUCACAGCUCUGAUUAAAAUAAUUUUUUUGAGGUAAAAAAAAAGAAAAGAAAAAGAAAAGGAAAUUAU